AAUCAACGCUGGCGGCGUGCUUAACACAUGCAAGUCGAACGGGAUCCAUCCCAGCUUGCUGGGAGAAGAUCUAGUGGCGAACGGGUGCGUAACACGUGGGCAACCUACCUCGGAGAUCGGGAUAACAGCUGGAAACGGCUGCUAAUACCGGAUAACCCUCUCGGAUCGCAUGGUCCGAGAGGCAAAUGGUCCGCCGCUCCGGGAUGGGCCCGCGGCCUAUCAGCGUGUGGGUGAGGUAACAGACAACCAAGGCGACGACGGGUAGCCGACCUGAGGGGGUGGCCGUCCACACGGAGACUGCGGCACGGCCCAGAGGCCUACGGGGGGCAGCAGUGGGAAAUUUUGCGCAGUGGGCGAAAGCCUGACGCAGCAGCGCCGCGUGGAGAAUGAAGGUCUUCGGAGUGUAAACUCCUGUCGGGAGGGACGAAGCGAAAGUGACGGUACCUCCAAAGGAAGCCCCGGCUAACUACGUGCCAGCCGCCGCCGUAACAC
rnacentral:rRNA from 1 species